rnacentral:rRNA from 1 species
UGAGGGUAGCGGAGAAAUUCCAAUCGAACCUGGAGAUAGCUGGUUCUCUCCGAAAUAGCUUUAGGGCUAGCCUCAAGUGAUGAUUAUUGGAGGUAGAGCACUGUUUGGACGAGGGGCCCCUCUCGGGUUACCGAAUUCAGACAAACUCCGAAUGCCAAUUAAUUUAACUUGGGAGUCAGAACAUGGGUGAUAAGGUCCGUGUUCGAAAGGGAAACAGCCCAGACCACCAGCUAAGGUCCCAAAAUAUAUGUUAAGUGGAAAAGGAUGUGGCGUUGCCCAGACAACUAGGAUGUUGGCUUAGAAGCAGCCAUCAUUUAAAGAGUGCGUAAUAGCUCACUAGUCGAGUGACACUGCGCCGAAAAUGUACCGGGGCUAAACAUAUUACCGAAGCUGUGGAUUGUCCUUUGGACAAUGGUAGGAGAGCGUUCUAAGGGCGUUGAAGCAUGAUCGUAAGGACAUGUGGAGCGCUUAGAAGUGAGAAUGCCGGUGUGAGUAGCGAAAGACGGGUGAGAAUCCCGUCCACCGAUUGACUAAGGUUUCCAGAGGAAGGCUCGUCCGCUCUGGGUUAGUCGGGUCCUAAGCUGAGGCCGACAGGCGUAGGCGAUGGAUAACAGGUUGAUAUUCCUGUACCACCUAUAAUCGUUUUAAUCGAUGGGGGGACGCAGUAGGAUAGGCGAAGCGUGCGAUUGGAUUGCACGUCUAAGCAGUAAGGCUGAGUAUUAGGCAAAUCCGGUACUCGUUAAGGCUGAGC